GGGCCCUUAGCUCAGCGGGUAGAGCGGCGGGCUUUUAACCCGCGCGUCGGGGGUUCGAGUCCCUCAGGGCCCACCA
rnacentral:tRNA from 1 species